rnacentral:rRNA from 1 species
CCUACGGGAGGCAGCAGUGAGGCAUAUUGGUCAAUGGCCGCAGGGCUGAACCCGCCAAGUCGCGUGAGGGAGGACGGUCCUAUGGAGUGUAAACCUCUUUUGUCAGGGAGCAAAGGGCGCCACGUGGGGCGCUGUGCGAGUACCGGAAGAAAAAGCAUCGGCUAACUCCGUGCCAGCAGCCGCGGAAAAGCGGAGGAUGCGCGCGUUAUCCGGAUUUAUUGGGGUUAAAGGGUGCGCAGGCGGAAUGUCAAGUCAGCGGUAAAAUUUCGGGGCUCAACCCCGUCGUGCCGUUGAAACUGGCGUUCUUGAGUGAGCGAGAAGUAUGCGGUAUGCGUGGUGUAGCGGUGAACUGCAUAGAUAUCACGCAGAACUCCGAUUGCGAAGGCAGCAUACCGGCGCUCAACUGACGCUCAUGCACGAAAGCGUGGGUAUCGAACAGGAUUAGAUACCCUAGUAGUC